UUUGUUUUUUGGGUCCCUGUGUUUGCUGGAUCUGUUCUAGGGGUCCCUUUGCUUUUAUGCCAUUGGAUUUAAAUUUCACGAACCCUAAAUCCACGAUUUUUGAGCCAGACUGAAGAACACAACAACCUCUUCCCUAUUCCACUGCAAGCUCCACUUCUCCCCGUAUCUCGCUCCCUGUGUUUGCUGGAUCUAGGGGUCUCUUUGCUUUUAUGCCAUUGGAUUUAAAUUUCACGAACCCUAAAUCCACGAUUUUUGAGCCAGACUGAAGAACACAACAACCUCUUCCCUAUUCCACUGCAAGCUCCACUUCUCCCCGUAUCUCGCCGGCGCCGAUCAUCUCAGAGCAGUAGAAAUUGAAAUGGGUAUUACACAAGAUCUCCUCAAGGCUGUUGAUCAGUAUCUCUUGGAGUGUUUUGAGAAAGCACAACUUCAUGGACAGACAACAGGAUCUACACAGCUUCAUGGACAGACAACGAUCAAGGAUCAAGUGAAUCCGUUGAGAUCGAAGUUUUUUUCGGCUACCUUUCAAUAUUGGGUGUCCUCCUCUAGUGAAAUAUCAAGGCAUCAGUAUUUCCCAACUUGAGCAACAUAAAGGGAUUAUAUAUAUUUUUGUUAUUGUUAUUUCAAUCUAUGUUGUAACAAUUAUUGUUGGUAAAAAGCUUGGGCCCAUUCGACUCCUCUCUGCCACAAUUGCCCAAAUCUUACUCUUUUUCAUUUUGCCAAUUUUGCUGUAAGGAUGACCCAUAAACCAAGUGCCGGCCAUCCUAAUUCUGGAACUAACAUGAAGAAGAGUAAGAUUGGGGCAAUUGUGGCAGAGAGGAGUCGAAUGGGCCCAAGCUUUUUACCAACAAUAAUUGUUGCAACAUAGAUUGAAAUAACAAUAACAAAAUAAUAUAUAAUCCCUUUAUGUUCCUCAAGUAGGGAAAUGUUGAUGCCUUGAUAUUUCAAGCUGGAGAGAGGAGCUCAUAUAUGCAACUUUGGAAUUUUGCGGUGGGAACAUAUGUCCAUCAUGUAGGAUGCUCGAUGCCUUAAAUUUUCUCUAAAUUCAUUUAUCAUCUGCUGAAUGCUUACAUGUUGGUUGUACUUGUAUUUUGUAAGGAAUUAAUAAAUGUAUAUAAUAUUUUUAGUUUCGAA